ACCGCUCUAACUAUGCUUCAUUUCGCCAAAAUGCCCACACGGUUCUGGGAUUAUGCCAUCCUAACAGCGGUCAAAUUGUACAAUCAAAAUCCAACAAGAAUUCUUUAAGGAAUCUCACCAAUGAAGGCUUUGUUCAACCGGAAUCUAGACUAUCACCAAAUGCUAUCCUUGUUUAAGACACCAUCGGCGGAAUAAAUUGGAGGAAAAAUCAAAGACUUGCGUUUUCAUCGGAUACCCACAACAGCAUGACGGAUAUAUGUGCUAUGACAUUAAAGAAAAGAAAAUUUACAUAUGAAAGAAUGUGAGAUUUAUCGAAAAUGAUUUUCAUUGAAUAGUAGGUUGUUUGAAGAAAAUACAAGUUGUGACAUCGGUGAAGAUAACGACGCGAUCACUUCAAACGAUCUUGAAAUUCUUGACAUUACUCCGACAACAGAGGCUUUGCCCAAUCAUCCAAGAAAUCUGCCACGCUCCGAGGUUUCACCAGAGCCGCAACCGAAUCACACGAUAUCGUCGAUUAGAGAACUCCAAAACCCAGAUGUGAUACUCAACAGUGGGGAAGAAACAAAUCGGAAUUUUCUCGACGAUCAUGAAUACCGGCCGACGUCAAACGACUCUGUCACGACCUCCGGUGAUAACGUUACAACGGAACCUAUCACAGAAAUGCAGACAUAGCACGAGAAGGUUGUUACACGAGCGUCACCUGGAAUCGUCAAGCCCAAUCCAAAGUACGGACUCACGUCUAUAUCGGAUCACAUCGUCAUCCUGAGAUCGACAAAAGUGGCAUUGACAAAAUCUGGAUAGAAAACGGCUAUGAAGGACGAAUUUCAUGCCUUGGUAAGAAAUAAAACGUGGAGACUAGUUCCACGCACCGACAGAGAUAGAGUAAUCAACACCAAAUGGGUAUUUAAAAUCAAAUACGCUGAAGAUGAGACAAUUCAAAGAUUGAAAGUAAGGUGGGUAGCAACGGCAUGCGACAAAUAGAACGGUGCGAUUAUCAUCAGACUUAUAGCCCGGUGGUGAAAUCAAAUUCGGUCAGAAUAGUGCUCACGAUUGCGAUUUCCAAAAAUUGGGUGUUGAAGCAGAUAGACGUAUCUAUUGCAUUCCUACACGAGAAUAUUGAAGAACGGAUCCUCGUGACACAACCGGUGGGAUUCGAAGAUACAAAAUAU
rnacentral:lncRNA from 1 species